GGUAACGGCUCACCUAGGCGACGAUCCCUAGCUGGUCUGAGAGGAUGACCAGCCACACUGGAACUGAGACACGGUCCAGACUCCUACGGGAGGCAGCAGUGGGGAAUAUUGCACAAUGGGCGCAAGCCUGAUGCAGCCAUGCCGCGUGUGUGAAGAAGGCCUUCGGGUUGUAAAGCACUUUCAGCGGGGAGGAAGGCGAUAAGGUUAAUAACCUUGUCGAUUGACGUUACCCGCAGAAGAAGCACCGGCUAACUCC
rnacentral:rRNA from 1 species